UUUAUUGAGAGUUUGAUCCUGGCUCAGGACGAACGCUGGCGGCGUGCUUAACACAUGCAAGUCGAGCGAUGAAGCUCCUUCGGGAGCGGAUUAGCGGCGGACGGGUGAGUAACACGUGGGUAACCUGCCUCAUAGAGGGGAAUAGCCUUUCGAAAGGAAGAUUAAUACCGCAUAAGAUUGUAGUGCCGCAUGGCAUAGCAAUUAAAGGAGUAAUCCGCUAUGAGAUGGACCCGCGUCGCAUUAGCUAGUUGGUGAGGUAACGGCUCACCAAGGCGACGAUGCGUAGCCGACCUGAGAGGGUGAUCGGCCACAUUGGGACUGAGACACGGCCCAGACUCCUACGGGAGGCAGCAGUGGGGAAUAUUGCACAAUGGGGGAAACCCUGAUGCAGCAACGCCGCGUGAGUGAUGACGGUCUUCGGAUUGUAAAACUCUGUCUUCAGGGACGAUAAUGACGGUACCUGAGGAGGAAGCCACGGCUAACUACGUGCCAGCAGCCGCGGUAAUACGUAGGUGGCAAGCGUUGUCCGGAUUUACUGGGCGUAAAGGGAGCGUAGGUGGAUAUUUAAGUGGGAUGUGAA
rnacentral:rRNA from 1 species